rnacentral:lncRNA from 1 species
GCACUUCAUGCCUAUGUCACUUAUAUUUAUAAAUUGCAUUUAUUGGUAUUAAUAAUAUUUCUUGGUGCGACUUCAGAGAAUAUGCUCUAUGACCAAGUCUAACAGUUCUAGACAAUAUACUCGAAUUUCAAGUGAAAAUAAUAAUAUAUAAAACAAUUAAAUAUUAAUCUAAUAAAAGAUUAAAGAUACAGUAACACAAAGCAAAGACCAAAGUCAGCCGCAGAGACCUAACAUAUUAACAUGUCAGAGUAUUAUUUCUUCUCAAUUUGCAGUAACCUUUUGACUUGGGUAAGUAAGAAUUUUCACCAAUAUUUCUUUCUUAAUUAUUAAGAUUAAUGUUUAAUACCACCAAAUGAUAUAGUGCAGCGGAUGGGAUUAUUCUUCUCUUAACAAGAAAUCUCAAGCUCGAGCCCUAAGUAUGUAAAAUCUUUGGUAGGGAGCGCUUCUCCCCAAUGAGGCCCUAUGUAGCGCGAAUCCGGAUAUAAUCGUGCUUCAAUGCGAGUUUCGAACAUCGGAUGGGAAACCAAAAAAAAGAUUAAAAUUUAAUCAUUAAACUAUUCUAGAGCUGAUAAUUUAAAAUGAAAUUUACUAAGACUCCAGUCUAUUUCUGAAAAAAGUAUAAUCUAGUGGUAAUAGUUAUUUGAUAAUAUCAUAAGAUUAUACUAUGGGAAAUUAUUUUCAAGAUCAGAUCAUCAGAUGGGGCUAACGCGUUUUGUUGUCUGCAUCUAAAUUGAACUUUAUUAUGGAUUACACCACAAGUUGGGCAGCUUUAGUGGGUCCUCUUGAACCUUUACAUUACAAUAAAUAGGGUUUUGAUUUUCAAGAAUUUGAAUUUUUGUAAUUGUACAUAGCUUUCUACUCCGUCAAUUUUACUUUAUAUGAUAAUUUUCUAAUCGGUUAAGAAAAAUGACAUUCUCAUAUUUAAAAGCUCUUAUAAGUUUGAAUUUAUUCAUUUUACCUAUAAAAUGUGCUCUUAUAAUCAUAAAGACUAGUACAUCAUGCAACAACAACGACCCAGUAUAAUCCUACAAGUGGGGUCUGGGGAGGGUAAUAUGUACGCAGACCUUACCCCUACCCGAAGGAUAGAGAGACAGGGGCAUAUACAAAAGCUUUUUUUCUCACCAAAAAGAAAAUACUCCCUCCGUUUCAAUUUAUGUAAACUCAUUUGACUGGACACGGAAUUUAAGAAAAGAGAGAAGACCAAAAAGGAAAUAGGUUCACAUAAAUUGAAAUGGGAGUAUAUGUGAAGAUGAACAAGCUACCCAUCAGACCUGUCUAUAUAAGUGUCAAAAAACUUAAUUUUAAUUCCAUGUGUAGUUAAUUGUGUCAUUUGAAUUGGCUUAGAUUGUGUCAUUUUACAUUUAAGAUAUCGACAUUGAACCAUGAAAAUGGAAGGAUGUGACAUUAUGAUGGGAACAUCAUACAUGAAAAUAAUUCCUUCAUCUCCUUAAAUCAAAAAGAUUUCAAAAAAGAAAAAAAAGGAGAUUAGCUUAAACUAUGAACAAGAUGUUUCCCAUUUUACCCUUCCCUUACUUCUCCUAAUCUAAACCCUUGGGUGAAAUUACAAAAAAGGGCCUGGUACAUCACACUACAUUGCUUUCCAUGAAAGACUCAAGGGUUGGAAACCCAGAAAAAGAGCCAAAAUCAAAGCCACAUGAACCACCGUCAACCACCACAUCAGACGGCGGAGUAGGGGCGGCGACUGACCCGAUUGCUGAAGUGGGGUCCA